rnacentral:rRNA from 1 species
AUUGAACGCUGGCGGCAUGCUUUACACAUGCAAGUCGAACGGUAACAGUGUGCUUGCACCGCUGACGAGUGGCGAACGGGUGAGUAAUGCGUCGGAACGCACCGAGUAAUGGGGGAUAACGCAGCGAAAGCUGUGCUAAUACCGCAUACGCUCUGAGGAGGAAAGCGGGGGACCUUCGGGCCUCGCGUUAUUCGAGCGGCCGACGUCUGAUUAGCUAGUAGGUGAGGUAAGAGCUCACCUAGGCGACGAUCAGUAGCGGGUCUGAGGGGAUGAUCCGCCACACUGGGACUGAGACACGGCCCAGAGUCCUACGGGAGGCAGCAGUGGGGAAGUUUGGACAGUGGGCGCAAGCCUGAUCCAGCCAUGCCGCGUGUCUGAAGAAGGCCUUCGGGUUGUAAAGGACUUUUGUCAGGGAGGAAAUCCUUAGCGCUAAUACCGUUGAGGGAUGACAGUACCUGAAGAAUAAGCACCGGCUAACUACGUGCCAGCAGCCGCCGUAA